ensembl:lncRNA
AUGGGAGAUUAUGCUAAGAUCACAUGGACUUCUUCUCUUCAAUUACUAGAGAGCUCUUCAAUUCUCUGUGUGUCUUUUUAUGUCACUUCCCAAGAACGUGGUUUGUUUGGAUCUGCAAAUCUUCAGAAACUGGUCCCGUUUUUUUUUUUUUUAAAUUUUUCUGUUUCCAAAAAUGCAGUUUUUUGUUUGUUGUGGGCUGUGAUGCAAAUCGCAUUUCGUAGUCCCUGUCUUUGGAGAUGCUCCAAUCAGUCCCUCGGAGAAAGACAGAAAUGGAUUCCUUUGUUCUUUCUGUUCUUUCCGGGCAACCUGCCUCUGAGGGGAAGAGGGCCCAGACAUAGGAUGCUGUGUCACUGGAAAAGCUGUCUGAUUCUCUGAACGUGACGCAAGCCUUGCAGUCACCACCACCGUGAAGGUCAGGUACAGCACCCAAGGCACUUGCUGCAGUAUGCCUUUCUUCCCCUGCAAUUGAGGUGAUAAUUGAAUCAUAAUACCACUGCACGCCUUGGGUUAUAGGAAUCCCAUUUCCCACUCAGCAUUGCAUUCAAGACAAAGGACACACCAGGUCAACCCUAACAUCUCACAUCAGAUGUUCAUAAACGGCUCACACUGUCUGUACUUUAUGUGUUUUUUUUUUACUCAUUAAAGAGUCAAGGAGAAACAGCUUUGAAGAAGGAGCCCAAAUGAUAUUAGAGUUCAUACUUAUUUUUAAACUUCAAAAAGAUAGGUAUCUAAACACUACUUACUGGAGAAAUGGAGGGGUGUAUUUUAGCCAUUGUAGAUUUCCUAACAGUAAUUAUUAACUAUACAACCAUGCAAACUCAUUAUUAAGUACUUAGUGUGCUUUUGACAUCAGCCCCGUCGUGAUGUCUUUGAAUUGCGUGAGCUGUUUUGUAGGACAGUACACAUCUGUCCUGGAAGUGUCCCAGAGAGCCAGCACACUCCAUCACCUGCUGGAUUGUGGCUGUGUUGGGAACCUGUCUACGUCUAAAACAUAAUUGGCUGGAUAAAAUCUGUGAUCUUUGUGAGCUCUGCAAGGGCAAAGCUGGUUAACUUGUUAAUUUCAAGGGAGUAAUGUUAACAUUGUUCAUUUGGCUUAUGGCAUCAAGGUUAUUAGAAUUUAGGGACUUGAUAGAUUUCUCCAUCUGCUACAUCAGUGGUAAUUGUAGAAAUUAGCUAAAAUGCACUACUGCUUAAAUGCAAUGGAAAAAUAUUUAUUUGUUUGCUUGUUUAUUUAUUUAUUUAUUUAUUUUCAGACAGAGUCUCGCUCUGUCGGCCAGGCUGGAGUGCAGUGGCAUGAUCUCGGCUCACUGCAACCUCUGGCUCAAGCGAUUCUCCUGCCUCAGCCUCCUGAGUAGCUGGGAUUACAGGUGCGUGCCACCACGCCUGAUUAAUUUUGUAUUUUUAGUAGAGACAAGGUUUCACCAUGUUGGCCAGGCUGCUCUUGAACUCCUGACCUCAGGUAAUCCUUCCGCCUUGGCCUCCCAAAGUGCUGGGAUUACAGGCGUGAGCCACCGUGCCCAGCCAAAUAUUUCUUUCUUUUAGGAGGACUCCUCCCCAUCAACCCCCACUUCUUUGAUACUUAAAAGAGUGAGAAAAAAAAUGUGUUACGUUGUGUGCGUGUAUAUAAACAUUAGUGUGUUUGUGUGUGUGUGUAUAUGUAUGUAUAUUAUAUAUACAAUGUGUGUGUGUC